CAUCACAUUCCUUAUACAAUCUACAUUUUCUCUAGCAAAGAAAAUCUUCGAUUUUACCAGGUAUAAAGUCUUCUCGAAGAAAACUAAUCCACCAACGUCUUCGUCGACGGACCUUCGUAAAACGAGCUAUUCACAACAGACACCAGCGGACAUUAGUGAUUUCCCCCUUAUCGUAUCUCGAUCUGACGUUCACGAAUAAAGGGGCUGGCUAGGAAGCGCGCAUAGGCCUCGGCGAUAGGUGUGUAAGUUAUAUCGGUGAGAGGCGGCGAUAGUGAGGCAAGGGCGACUGUACCGUCGACAGUACAAAUACCUAGAGCUACUUAGAGAAGAGGGAAAUGGGACUAGCCAUUUAGGGCAAACUACCCCCGAGUUGGCUCACGCGACUGAUCUUAUCGUUCGCCCAGUCGGUUCCCGGCUACGGAACGCAUACACUCACGGUUAUCUCGCUGCAGAAUUGAUUUCUUGCAUUCGUUAUUUCCCUGAGACCUCGCCUGGUGUCACACGCUCGAUCUUUCUGCUGUCUGCAAUGACUAUACACGCAACAAAGUAUCAAUAGAAAUGAGAUAUCAGAUAUGAUAUAUUGCGUAAUGCACGAAAAGUAAGAUAUUAUUUUACUUGACUGGUCUAUUUUCUAAGAUAGAAUUGACAUUCUCAGAUCGGUCGGUGAACAGAGCGUCAUUUCAUUGGCGAUCGAGGAAUUUUCUGAAAAGGAGGACUAUACAUUUAUGGUUUUAUCGAUUUCGUUGGUAUGAGACAUCAAACACGCCUGAUAAAAACUGUUUUAAUUACUGUGACGAUGACAUGGCAGAAACUUAGAAACUAAUCAAAUGGAUUAGCCAUAUUGGUUCGAUAAAUGAAAGAGCAACUCGUCAGAGCUUUUACAUAACCAAGAGAAGUGGUAACGUCUUAAUAUCAGAUAUCCGUCGACUAACCGGAUGACAGCCACACCCUCUUUUGGUCACGCGAGAGACGACUUUUCAAAGCCGCCUCAAGCAGACAUAAUUAAUGAAACACAAGGGAGUGGAAAGUGUAAGCAUUUUAACGGCUGAAGUCUCUAAAACUUCUAGAUCAUUUCAACCCGCUUCACGAUACGUUUCUCUUAUAAUUCAGAAAUAUAAUGUCGUGAAAGUACCCUUUUAUAUCAUCCGAGACUAUUAAUUGC